CUCUUCGUGGGCGCUGCGCUUGACGCCGUGACCAAUCACAGGCCACGUCGCGUCGCUGCAGCCAAUCGGAAGAGCCUAGAACAUUAAGACGAGCAUUUGACGGCUCCUCCUCUCUGUUCCAGGGUGCUUAGUGGAUUUAGUUGUUUAUGGUCUAGUUUUGCUACUGUUUCAACACGCUCCGGUUACAUCCGGUGCCAUCGUGGUUCUUGUGAGGCAAGGCCUGAGAAUGCGAAGCGGGGAGUUCCCUGAUGUGGCGAUAUUAUAGGAGCUGUUGGGAUGGUUGGCCUUAGAUAUGUGACCCCGGAGGAGCAUGAAUAAGAGUGUUAAUACGGGGAUACGUCGUUUUUUAAUUCAACGAACCUUUUCUACAAGACCAUUUGUCACUGUGGGGCAAUUAAGGAAACAAGGCGAGGGUGAUUCCAACAUUUCCAAGCCAGAUUGCGUUUUUCCCCUUGUUGUUUUCUUAGUCCAGAUUCCAGCCAAAAGGAAUUACAUUCUUGGAGAUGUUGGAAAAAGAUUCCUGGGACUUCAAAGAUAAUCACUCCAGAUAUACAGGGGAGUGGGAGGAGGGCAAAGCAGAGAGACAUCAUCUUCUGGGCUCUCACUUGGCAAGCCUUGGUUUCUUGAUGGCUGUUGGCUGAAGACUUCAGUGCUCCACCAUGAGAACCUCUCCAUAGGCUGCCUGAGAACUCUCGCAACAUGACAACUAUCUUUCCCCAGAGGGAAUGAUCCAAGAGAGAAAUGCCAAGUUAACAUGUAAGUCGACACAUAUGAGGGUGUGAAUACCAAGAGGUGGGAGAUCAUUGGGGACCAUCUUGGAGGUUGACUAUCACCCUUUACUCUUUCUUUUUUUUUUUUUUUAAACUGCUUCAAUUUAUUGAAUCAAGAGAUUUAACAUUAGACCCUCUGGUCAGAUAAUGAGAAGUAUGAGAGCAUAUGUAUUCAAAUAAGUGCUCUCUUUUCUAAGAUGCACGGUUUCUUGCCCGUGAAUAUAUAAAUUCCAUAAGUGAUGCCACUCCUAUUGGAAAUUUUCUAGAGAAUAUAUAAGAAAGCUUAUUUUAUAGAUAGAGAAUAUUGGACUUUGAUUAUAUAUGUUUUUUUUUCUUGGACCCAUUUCUCCUCUCCCAACUCCUCCUUAGGUGAAGGUGGUUAGAGAAGCUGGAAGUAGACUAUAGAUAGAAAUUGAGUACCCCUAUCCCUGGUAUUUUGCUUGGGGUGCAGACUGUCUUGGAAUGGUUGAAAUUUCUGUUUAGAGUUUUCUAAGGAAUGCAAUCCAAUUACUUAAAGGCACUUACACAUAUAUUUGACAUAGGAUGGAAUAAAGGUAUAAAUACACAGCAGCAGCUUUAGAGCGAUUUGUCCUUUUCCUCAAAAGCUUGAUAUUUAUCCAGUUUGGUGAGUAUAUUUCCUUUUCUUUCUGUUGCUCCCCCCUCCCACCACGGUCUUUUAUCUCUCUUGAUGUGCAAAAUACAGACUUUGCCAAGCCCCUUAUUGGGGCAUUCUGAGCAGAAUGCCCCUAAUUGGUAGAAUUCUAAUUUGUGCCUGAGAUUUGUAAUCUUUUGAGUCUUCUUUUCCCUUAAUUGCUGCUUAAAAGUUCUUUGUUAGCAGUGACAACUCUUUUCCUUUAAAGCUUAAGUGCUUCUGGUUAUUUUGGAGACCUUGUGUAAUAACAAAAAGCAUUACGUAAAAAACAAGAUACAACCAGUUUUGGGAUGUGUUUGUAUUAGGUAUGGUUACCCUUUCCAUGUCAAGCUUAAUAUUAAGACAUUUCUAAGUUAGCAUAAGGUAAUCUGUGCGAAGUAGUUAAAUGAUACACUUGAGAUUAUCUUUGGUAUGAUUUUUCCAAUUGGAAGUAAAAUUGGAGGUGUUACCGGUUCAUGAAAAUUAAAAUUUAUAGAAAUGUGUAUAUAUUAUGUGUUUUUUAAAAAGGGCUAAACAAUGAAAAAACUUAUGACUAAAGCUCAAGUUGAAAAUAGGAAGAAAAUAUAAAUGUCCAAUGAUUAAACUUUUUCCACUGCUGUUCACAUCAUGAUCUGUUGUGAUUAAUGUAUGUGGAUGAGGACAUAAUGGAAAAAGAAAAUCGUAGUGGGAGAAAAAAAUUAUAGAUAUGAUGUAAUUUUUUUGUAUAUUGAUUUACUUGUAAAUGUGUUCCUGUUUUAGGAAUGAAAUUGAAGGGUGUUUUUGUCAGAUUUAUCUGAUAAAGAAUUUGAACAUUUAUAUAGUAAGGUAAGUGGUUUAUAAAUUUGCUAGUUUUGACAAAAGAACGGACAAUCAGAUUUGAGCAAAAAAUUGAUAUUUGAGCAUAAUGUGGACAUUGUACUCAAUUAAAUUUUUUUCCUUAUUUUUUCAUUUUUCAAAGAUAACAAUAUGAUUUCAAAGAUAAUUUUCUGAAUCAAUAGAUUUGAUGCAGGAUAAGCAAUUGGGUGGCUGGGGUUAGGACUUUUAACCUUGAUGAUUAUCUUUUCUCAAAAAUAAUGGUGUAAUUCAUUCAGCCUCUGAGAUUCUUAGAGAUCAUAUAUUCCAGGGUUUAAAUUUGCUGAACUUUUGUAUGUCCUAUAAAUGACUCUUUGAUAUGCCACUGAAUGACCAUCCUAUAACUUAAUCUUUAUUCAAGAACAGUAGAUAAGUAGGUGGUUAGAAGCUGGGAAUCUCAAAUUUAGUACCAGAUUAAUCUGUCACUGAUUAGGCAUGUUGUCUUGGGGUGUUUCAAAUUUGAGGAAUAUAAAGAGGAAAAAUUCUUGCAAAUACUCAGUAUUGAUUUAAGUUUAUUUUCUAUUUCAUAAAUUUCUACAAACCUAAAAGUUGAUAUAAAUUUUGUUGACGGGCCUUAAUCAAAAGAUUUACAAAAUAAGUGCAUUCAAAGACAAAACAUUAAUGGGAUGGAUGCUACUGUUACACAGGAGAAAACAUGGUACUGGCUGGUGUGGAAUAAGUUGUAAAUACAUACAGUCUUGUGCUUUGUGAUGAUUAUAAAGCUUUACAAUCAGGACAACAGUAGAGUUGUCCAGAACUUUACUCUUUUGCAGACCUCAAAAUUGUUGAAAUGAGGGAAGGGGCCUAAGUUCUCAAAAGGAUGUCUUUGGACUGUCUGCAAAUGCUAAUUUGAAGAAUUCUGUAUUACAUUGUCUCCAAACAUUUUUCCAUCUCCAGUGGGAAUUCACUCUGGAACUAACAUUCUUUUGAGAAAAUCUUCAGUUUCUAUUUUGAUCUAUGGUUAAGUUUGGCUAGUAGUUAACUAAAUUGGAUUAAACGUUGAUUAUUUUGUGAACUAAUAUAAGUUUUUCUUUUUAGAUACAGGUGGUCCUUACUUUGCACCGUUCCAUUAUACAUGAAGAUCAGUUUUCACAGUUUAGUUAAAUAACACCAAUCCUCCUACAAUACAGUUGUGAUUUCAGUUACAAUAGUAACUGAAUUGUUGCAUAAGUUUUGUUGCUAGCUCUUUAUUCCACAACUGAUUAUGCAUUAUAAAAGAUGUGCAUCAUGGUCAGUAACCAGUUACAUCACAUCUUUCAAAGUCUCUUGGUGAUUGAUCACUAAACAUCUAUUAGUUCAGGGAGUAAAGCAUGUAGUUGUAUUGCUUACUUGUUUCCCAGUAAUAAACCCAUGCAACAUUGUACAAAACUGGAUAAUCAGAAGAGGGAAUUGGCAGGGCAGCAAAGAAACAAGUGAUUUUUAACACUGGAAGUGAAAUUGGAUUUGAAAAUGGCGACAGCAUAGUGAAGACGAGACCCAGGCCUACAUAAAGCUGCAGCAGAAACUGGUUUAAAAGUUCGAGGAAUAUAAAAAGCAAAGUAAAGUUGCUUCAACAUUUUUUAGUUUAAAUUACACUAGGAACAGAAAGCCACUUACAGUUGAAAUGGAGUGCUUGCUUCUACUUUGGAUGGAGGACUGUAAUAAAAAAUCCUAAUCAGUUUGGCUAGCAUUCAGGCCAGAGUGUUGAGGUUAGUUGCUGCACUGAAGGAAAAUGGUAAUUACCAGGAGACUAAAAAAGAACAUUUUUUGCUGGGAAAGGCUGGUUUCAUCGUUCAGAAGUCUGGAGCGCCUGUGUGGCUCAGUCGGUUAAGGUUAAGCAUCGUUUGGAGGUCGGCGUGAAUGGAAUAAUGUUCCACUGGUGAAGCUGCAUGUUCAGAUAAGGAUGCUACUGGGAAAUUUGCACCCAUGUUCCAAGAAUCACAGGCAGUCCUUGCUUUGCACAGUGGUAUGAGAUUACUGUGCAAAACUUCAUAGGAUUUGGCUGGAAUGUAAAUGGAGUUCCGGAAGAUAUGACUGUGGGAAUGUUUACACUGCUGCCAUUCAGGAAGUAGUUCUGGAUAUACAGCCAGAAGGUGCUGCUUCAGCAGCACAUACACUAAAAUUGGAUAUAUAGCUAGAAGAAUUUAGUGAAGGUGAACAUAGUUAUAAAUGAGGAAAGCAGUUGUGUGUUGUGAAGGAUGAAUACAUUUGGAGGAAGUGAUUCAGGUGAAAAACCACAUUAAAGGAACUCUGAGAUGUUUCAUGACACUGUGCAAAGCAUUAAACGUUAGAAACAGAUCAAGCUCAGAAAAGAGGAUGACAAUUUGCCAAGGCAUAGGAAAGAUGCUUGCUCCAUAUUGUAAGUUAUAUGAGAAAGCAAGCACUGUUCAAACUACUUGAGACUUGUUUAUAAAGAAAUAAAACAUUCUAAUUUUCAAUGUU